UUCUGAUAGGAUGCCCCUGAUACCAACUGAUAUUCAGUGGGUUAAAGGGCAAUAUCAGACAGCUGACACAUUUUAAUCUGACUCAACUGAAUUGUGUUUUAAUAACAAGGCCAAUUGUAGUUUUACUGUGGAUCAAAAUGGAGUGAAAUUUGCUCAGUUGGUAUGGUACCACAGAUUGUUAUCAUGCCUGCAGCCAAGCUAUGGAGCUUUCAAUACAAAAUUUAGUCAUUUAUAUUCACCAGUGGUAAGAAACUUGAUAACGGAUAUUUGGUACAACAUUAAUGCAAGUACUCUCAUGCAACUACUCCACUUCUUAAAUGUAGCAUAUAGAAUAUUCAUUUUUGGUCAAAUAUAGUGUGCCUGUGGUGCCUAAUAAUGCCAUUGACUUUACUGCACUUUUGAUCGCUCUGUCUCCUCUUGUGUCAAUACAGAUUUUGUCACUUAUAAAAGCUGCAUGGUGUUAUUAAUGGUACAGAGUCAUUAAUAGGGAUUGUGACAUUCAUUUCAUAUCAAAAAUCAUUUUUAACAAGUUUGAGCGUAAAGGUUUUAGCUUUGCUUAUCGCUGUAAACGACGUUGAGGGACCUAAAGAGUUAAUUUGUCCCUCUCUGCUGAACGCUGCGUGGGCUGCUGAUCAUUCGAGAGUGCAUUUUCAGCGUCCAAUCAGAUGCGCGGAGUCCACUCCGCACUCAGCCAAUAGGGAGAAUGGGAGGCUCUAUCGAAUUUGAAUGAGGAGUGUAUCUUUCGGCGCCAUUUUCGAGUGAACAGCGAUUGCCUCAGCAGCUGCGGAGAGAGGAUGCUGCGAACAUAGAAAGCUGUCGCCGAGACGGGCGUGAAACGAAGCGCUCAAAAAUAAACUGCGCUUUUAGAGAGGGGCAUCACGUACUUCCAAUGGGAACGCAGGUGGUGAACCUCCUUGCCUGCUUUAGGAGUGGAGUAAAGACAUCUCUGCCACAUGAUGCUGCUGAUCAUCUGAAGGUCUUUAGGUAUAUAAAUGAUAACCAUCUAUGAACAUGUGGUUUGGACUAAAGACCUGGUGGAUGGAGAAUGCACAAGUAACAUGGAAGAUGACAAUAAUGUGAAGCAAAGGGGACCAUGACUGCAGUUCUGGCAAUGCUGUAGCAGCACGGAAUGGUUUGUGGGUUACACUGAGAUGCAGGCCAUGCUGUGCUGCCGCAGUACAGCCUGAAUAUACAACCUGGCUGUCACCUUGCAGCUCUUCAACCUGUUUCCCAUUUUUCAGUGGUGAUUAGAGUUGACUUGUGUACUGUCUCUCUCUUGCCUCCGUCUGAGAUGAUGCCAAAUAGACAAUUGUUUUUGUGCUGAUAAAAAGUUGGGUGGACUUUCUCAUUUGCAGGUCGCCUUACUGUAGCAGCACGUAAAUAUUGGAGUUAAGACUCUAGCUGAAGCCUCCAGUAUUGAUCGUGCUGCUGAAGCAAAGCUGACCACUCACAAUAGGAGUAAACACUGUACUCAGUGACUUGACAGUGAGUAUUUGGGAGAUGCCUACACUGUUUUUCCACACAGAUUUUGACUUGGCCUCUGACACUAUAUUGUUUUAAUAGUUAGAAUGUGUAUACACCGUCUUUUUACAUUUCACUGUUAUGUCGGCACACUGGGAGAAAUAAAAUUUCAAACUGG